GUUUUCACUUGGAAAUUUUAUUUGUAUAAUUUCUAUUUUCUGUCAAUUCAUGGGAAAACAAAAUCUAACGAAAAGAGGGAUGCUAUUCUUAACACCUGGUUCAAAGGUUUCAGCUGGAAGAUGUUCUGAAAUUCAAAUAUGACAAGUUAAAAAAUCAAAAUACCUCUUAAAUUUGCUCCAGGAGGGAGGCUAUUUUUAAGCACCUGGGUCUAAGGGCUUGAGCUGGAAGAUGUUCUGAAGUUCAAAUCUGUUUCUUAAUUAAUAUGACAAGUUAAAAUAUCUGAAUACCCUUUACAUUUGGUAAAAUCUUAAUAUCCAUUGCAAUUUCGAAUCGAAUUAAUGCAAUGCGAACUUAGAAAUACUUCUUUAGAUUUCUCUUAACUUUUAGU